AAUCUUGCGCAAUGUGCGAAAGCCUGACGCAGCCAUGCCGCGUGAAUGAUGAAGGUCUUAGGAUUGUAAAAUUCUUUCACCGGGGACGAUAAUGACGGUACCCGGAGAAGAAGCCCCGUCUCACUUCGUGCCAGCAGCCGCGGUAAUACGAAGGGGGCUAGCGAUGCUCGGAAUUACUGGGCGUAAAGGUCACGUAGGCGGGUCGUUAAGUCAGGGGUGAAAUCCCGGGGCACAACCUAGGAAUUGCCCUUGAUACUGGCGAUCUUGAGUAUAAGAGAGGUAUGGGGAACUCCGAGUGUAGAGGUGAAAUGCGUAGAUAUUCGGAAGAACACCAGUGGCGAAGGCGACAUACUGGCUCAUUACUGACGCUGAGGCGCGAAAGCGUGGGGAGCAAACA
rnacentral:rRNA from 1 species